UAACAGAUGAGCUAAGCCUAUGAGGCAUUUAUAAGUUAUAUUUUUUUGAGAAUCAAUGGGUACACAUCAUUACUUUAUAAGUACAAACAUGGAUGUAGAAACUGCAGAUUGAACCUUUAAGGCUUUGUUUGGCUCUAGGCUGGGCUCUGGGCUUGAGACUUGGCUCGGUUCUCGGCUGGGCUCUGGGCUUGGUUCUAGGCUGGGUUCUGGGCUUGAGGCUUGGUUCUAGGCUGGGCUCUGGGCUUGGUUCUAGGCUGGGCUCUGGGCUCUAGGCUGGGCUCUGGGCUUGGUUCUAGGCUGGGCUCUGGGCUUGGUUCGAGGCUGGGCUCUGGGCUGGUCUUUAAGCUGGA
ensembl:lncRNA